rnacentral:misc_RNA from 1 species
AAAGGGUUCAACUUAACUCAAUUUGCUCUAAUGAACUUGGUGAUCCAGAAACUAUAGCUAAGGUUCCUGGUAGGAUGGAAAUUAACCACUUGGAUGGGUGGGCUAACAGUGAUAAUCUUCAACUUUUGAAUCUUAUUUACGAUGCAACACCUUCAGAUUAUGUAUCAAUGAUAAUUACGGAUUAUGGCAUGAUCCCUCCGACAAGUGUUCCGGUAAUAGUUCGUGAGUAUCGCAGAGAAUAUUUAUGGACAUGAAAGGAGCAUAACUAAAAACUGCAAAGAUCUGAUAGUUGCCUCAAGAAAAGCAAAGGGAGACCUAAUGCACAAGUUUUUUGUCCCACCCUGCUACGUGCGUCUCAAAGAUAUAGAUAGGGACAUGGGUUCUGAGUACCUUUGCGUAACAUCAGUUUAUUUCUCUCGGGUUCAUUUUUGUGAUAAUGAUUUUGAGUUAUGUGCCUCA